CCUCUUGUGUUCUCAUUCUCUCCUUUUACUCCUCUGCAUUUCUAGGAAUGCUGAUGGCUGGCUAUCCACAUUACAUCUUCACACAUUCCAAUAUGCAUGAGGCUGUGUGAGAUAAGCUCUUGGCAAAAACGCAGAAAGGGUACACCUAGGGGACAGGAGUAUCAACUUUGAAAGUAUCAAAACAUCCUGUUUCCUAACAAAAAACAUUACCAUGCUUAAAAAUGUGCUCUAAUUUCAUAAACAGUUUCAACAGCUUUUCUCUUAAUCAAGUUCUUAACUUUAAAGUGAAUAUCAAUACCUGGAUUUAGGCAAAAUAUCUCAGAUUCAAAUGUUUCGUUUUUUUUUUAUUAUUAGGUACACAAAGAAGGUAGAUGGUUCAUUCCUGGUUUCUAUCUGAAGAAUAAGGGGUCCAAUAUAAUAAAUCUUGAUUCUCUCAUUUUAAUCAUUUAAAUUUUACUUACAAUGGUUGAAUCUUAGCAAAAACUUGCUUUCACUAAUCUUGUCUUAAUUCAGAACCACUCAUAAUUCUCCUUACUCUAUAUUUGGGUGAGGUGUGGGGAAUCCUGACUUUUAGUCACCUUUAAGGCCUUAGUUUCUAUUUCACAUUAUGUAUGUGUUCAUUUCAUAGACUCAUUUAACAUAAAUUAACAUAUUGUACACCUAAUAUUUCCAGGUAUUCUUCUAUAAGCUGAAGACUUAAAGAUGAUAAAGUCCUUGCCCUCAAUAAGCACACAAUCCAGUACUAGUUUUAGCCCCACAGUAGCUGAAUUAAGUCAAUUACAGAAGACCAGUUUGGGCCAGUGCAGUGGCUCACGCCUGUAAUCCCAACUCUUGGGGAGGCUGAGGCAGAUGGAUCACUUGAGAUCAGGAGUUCAAGACCAGCCUGGCCAACAUGGUGAAACCCCAUCUCUACUAAAAAUACAAAAGAAUUCUCCAAGGUGUGAUGGCAUAGGCCUGUAAUCCCUGCUACUCAGGAGGCUGAGGCACAAGAAUCACUUGAACCCAGGAGGCAGAAGUUGCAGUGAGCUGAGAUCACGCCACUGCACUCCAGCCUGGGCGACAGAGUGAGACUCCAUCUCAAAAAUAAAAUAAAUAAAAAUAAAAUUAGGAAUCAUAAAUCCAGCUCUUCAUCAGGAAAGGCAUCAACAGCUUGUUUUCUUAAGCACAGAAUAGAAAAAAAUUAUGCUCAAUUCCUUUAUCACAUCUCUGGUCCAAGUGAUAAGUUUUAUUUAAUGAUAUCUUUCCUGUUUGAGGGAAUUUACACAAUAAUUUCAUGUAUGUCAUUUCAUUUUAGAGACAUGGAGAUGCCAUAAACUAUGUGGGAUUUUCAAAUGUGUGAUUGUUUUGCUGGAGGAGAAACAUGGGUUAAAGAGAAGUAUACAAUGAUGGUCACGAUCAUGUGCUUUUCAAAUACAAAUGGGAAACUUAGGAAACAUCUUUUAUCAGAAGUAUCCCAGUUACAUUUCUUCAGAAUAAGCAGCAUUUACUUCCAUUGAAAACACUAAUUCCAGAUAUAGUUGUAGUCUGUCAUUAAUCACUGAAAGGAUGUCUCGGGAGUUAUUGGAAUGUGUGUCUACUUAUCAGACAUACGAAAUUAGAGAUCAAAUACUUAAUUUUGCCCAUGGCUAUAGCUGCUAUUACAGCUGGUUUUUAUUUGCAUAGCUUUUUUUUUUUUUUUUUUUUUUUUUUUGAGACGGAGUCUGUCUCUGUCACCCAGGCUGGACUGCAGCAGUACGAUAUGGGCUCACUGCAACCUCUGCUCCCCAGGUUCAAGUAAUUCUCCUGCCUCACCCUGCCGGGUACCUGGGAUUACAGGCAUGUGCCACCACGCCCAGCUAAUUUUUGUGUUUUUAAUAGAGGUGGGGUUUCACCAUGUCGACCAGGCUGGUCUUAAACUCCUGACCUCAAGUGAUCCACCCACCUCAGCUUCCCAAAGUGCUGGGAUUACAGGCGUGAGCCACUGCGCCUGGCCGGCAUAGCUUUCUUAAUGCAUUCAUGAAGCUGCAAUGUAUAAUUGUCUUGAGAUAACAUUGUAUGUUAAUACUACAGCAAAUUUUGCCAUGUAGACCACACAUUUAUUAAAAGGAUCUCAUUCUUUAGUAUUCUCCUGACUUCUCCCCAUCCCAAAGUUUGCCUUCAUUUUGAUUUGAUGUUAGGUAUUUAUUGACUAUUACAAUUGUUAAACAAUUUUUUCACUUUUAGUAUUAAUUCAUGCAAAUGCAUUGAUGAAUUUACAAAAAUAUUAUGAAUUAGCUAAAAUACUACAUCAGCCCUCUUAACUGCUAUGGAUAUGUAAUCUUAGCCUAAGAUAAAAAGUAACUUCUGGGGAGACUAAAAUGGAUAGGCCCUCAUCAAUACACAUUUGAGAGAAAGAGAGGAAAAGAGAGAUCCUUUAGUAGUAUGUGUGUCUAAAUUCUUAAGCAAUUAUCCAAAACAAAAACAAAAAACAAAACAAAAAAAAACAUGGCAGUAAGCCGAGAUGGUGCCACUGCACUCUAGCCUGGGCGACAGAGCGAGACUCUGUCUAAAAACAAAACAAAACAAAACAAAAACAAAAGAAAAAAAACAACCAACCAAACAAACAAAAUACAAUGAACAGAUCAGUCAUUCAUUGACCACAUGGCAUCAAACCUGUGCAGUGACCUAGGCUCCAGCAUUAACCCAUCAUUUAUAAUAUCCAGCUCUCCCAUUAGUCUUUUCUCCUCCCACUGGUAAAUGUACAAACAUAUAUUUCACAUCACAGAACUUCCAACACGUCACCAUCUUUUCUGUUUUAGAAAUAAACUUUAGUGCCUCAAAGUUUUGAAAACAAUGUGCUUGUUAGGAUCAAAGCCGUCACCAAGUGGGUCUGCCUGUUUCUUUGUUCCGUACACUCUUGUAACAUAUAAGCAGCCUCUGACUGAUUUUGCAUUUUGUUGACAUACUACUCUAUUUGCCAAGAUUAAUGUUAAAGUUAAACAAAAAUAUUGGGCUCUUUCCCUAUGAUGCAUAAAGUGCAUGAACUUCCUUUUUCUUUUGAAAAUUUUAUAAUCGUAUUUAUUUUCAUUUUAAAAAGCUAAUAAGCAUUCAAAGUGCUUCAAAAUUUUCCAUUAGCCUAGAUCCCAAAAUAAGAAUGUUUAGAUUACUGCCAGAUAGAUUUAAGCUAGUUAUUAGUAAGAAUAUUUUGGAUUUGGAGAUAACAGAGUCUAGGGCCCAACAGCCAAGGGAAGUCAUACAAUCUUUUUCCCCAGAGAUAAGAAAAAAUAGCCAAGGAAAUUCAAUCUCUUUUCUAGAUAAUAAAAUUGUAUCAUUCUAUUCUAUCCCUAGAAAUAUUUAUACUCAUUCUUGAUUAGAAGCAGGGGGUCAGAUAAAAAUCACGUCUCAAGGCCCCCUUUAGUCUUUUGUCUUUUUUAAAAAAAGAAUAUUCAAAGCAAAUUGUAAUGCAACGAGCUUUAGAAUGGCUGCCUGUGAAGCACUGAGAGGGAAGGAGAGUUUGCUGCCAUCUCCUGGACGUUUGAAAUAAAAUCGGCAAGAUGAGUGCUUCAGCGCCUGCCUGUUCCUUUUAGACGGGGCACUAAGACUGUGGAAGCAGGUGCAGUUUACAAGUCUGGCUGUCCCUGACUGGAUAAACAGGAAAACUAUUUAUGGGUUUUAAAGAAUAAAGUUGAUUUAAGUGGUUUGCAUGUUAGAAAAGUGUUAUUCAAAGUGUAGUUCACAGCCCAUUAGCAUCAGAAUCACCUGGGUUGUAUGUUACAAAAACAAAUUCCUAGGUCCCACCCAAACCUAGUAAAUCAGAAUCUCUAAGGUGGGGCUAUCUCUAAGGUGGGGAAAUCUUAAUUUUACACUAGGAACAAAAAGUGGAAAGCUAUAUGUUACACUACGAAGGGAAUAGUUUGCUCAUACUAAAGUGCUGUAUAUAAAGGAAAUCAUAUUAGUUCAUUCAAUGUAAAAUUAAAAUUAAAAGUUCUAAGUAAUAUAUUUAGUGUUGCUGUUUAUUUCAGUAAUACCACCCACAAUGAGUUGUGACAUUUCAGUGAGUAUUUCAUAAUGCAGAAUUCAAAAUCUAGCCCAUAUUGGACUUACGUGAAGAAUUAUGAUCUGCACCAUUUGUUAAACAGUAAUAAGUAAUCCAACCACAACCAACAGACUCUGAGUGUGAAUUAAAAAAAAAACUCCAAACCAAAGAUCUAAUUGUGGAAGGAUUGCAAUGAAACCUUAAAUUAGUACAUUAUAUUAGUUCAACCAAUUCCUUAGAGAUUCUUAGCUCUAGAAAAUGGUUUUGUGAACAUUUCUUUAUCAGUGUUAGAUAUGCUAGGUGAAAAAAGAACAAAGGGGUUUUUAGUACAGUAAGAGGCCUAGUUUUGCUUUAUUUUUAAAUGUAAUUAAAUGGCACAAAAGGAAAGCAAGACUAAAUCAAUUCAAUUGCAUUUGAAACAAAAGCUAUUCUGGAUUCAGAUAACAUUUUCAGAAUCUCAGCUUGUUUUGAUUUUUUAUCUUCAAGAUGAGUCUUGACUUCUGCUUCUGACUCAGAAGGAUUCUAGAAGUACCAGAAAACCCACAAAAAUUCCCUGGGUUUGAAAGGCAGCUGGAAUAUUAAGUUCCUCCCUAUGUCAGUGGCUCAGCUUCUUAGAAUUGUUUUUCAUCACUUGCCCUGAGCUGGGAGUUUGCUCUGUUCAGGCCGAGGUUUCACUCUUUCUGUUUUUGGAAAGUGAUCAUGCCUCUCAGGCAAGGGGAUCAAUUACUCUAAAAAGGCCAGGUUGCUGACCCUUUGUCCUAGGACAGUGUGGAAAGGAGGGAUAAGGACAGCUGUGAGCUGCGCCCUCCUAGGUCAGCCCAACUGUUGCAGGUCUGAAGUGGGGUAGUCUCAGGGAUAGGGUUGCCAACUGCUCCACUUUCAGUGUAAUAGGCCUAUUUAAGCUUCAACUAUGCUACCAGGUUACUCAGGAUACCAACUAUCCUGUUUAGAGAAUAUGUUUGGUUUACAAACAUUUCCCCAGAAGAGCUCUCUUCAUAUUACUAAGUCCACUACAUUCAUUCUAUUUAACAUUGGUACUUUGAACUGAAAACAGUGUCUUUAUAGUAGAGGCUCAAAGCUGAUGUUAUUUUAUAAAAAUAUUGAACCAGUCUUUUUGAAUCUGAUCUCAUCUUUGUAUACCACGAAAAGAAUGCUGGCACAAUAGAUGAACACAAAGCAGGAAAAAAUGGACAAACAGGCUGAAUACAGAGGAAUGUAAACAUAUAAACUUCAGUAAGAAGAAAAAAGAGAAGAAACAAAGAUCUCUCAACGACUCCUGGGAAUAGAUUUCUUGUGUCAAUGUGAAAUUUAUAGCGACACUCCUUCUACUUUUCCUAUUUUAGUUGUGGGUCUCAAACUGGGAUUCAUAUUAACAGAGAACACAAAAGAACUUGUUUAAUUGUGUUUUCCUCAUUGGAAGUUUUUAAAAUAGUAGCUAUUGUUUAUUGAGUGCCCCUUAGAAGAAUAAUAAUAGCUAACAUGUGUUGAAUACUUUCUCUGUGCCAGGCAGUGUUUUAUAUACAAAAUGCAUAUUGUUUCAUUUAAUCUUCAUAACAACUUGUGAGGUACACCUAUUAUUGUCUUCGUUUCACAGCUGAGGUAUUGAAGCACAGGGCGACUGAAUCCUUUGUUUAAAGUCUCCCAACCAGCAGGAGGCAGGCCUGGGACUCAGAGGCAGGCAGCGCGGCCCUAGAGCCCACACUCUUAAUCACUACCAAUGUACUUCUUGUGGGCUCAAGGUUUACACACCUUAUCUCAUCUAAUAGUAUGUGAAGUUCAUUUAAGACAUGAUUACCUUUUGCUUUUCCUAAAUUAAAAAAAAGUCUUGUCUUCUUUUUAAUUUAAAAAUUGGAAGGAACCUUAUUCUCUGCAUUAUUGUUACUGAAAUUUGAGGGUUUCUCUCAUCACUAUUCUGUUCUUCCUUUAUUUGCCAGGUAUAAAUUACCAUAACUCUGGUAAUAUGUGAUGCUGGUUGGCUGGAAGCGGUAGGUGUUUGAGGCGUGUGGUCUAGUGCACUGUGGGAAUUUGUUCAACAGAAACCAGCAAAAUGUUGAGCUUCCCUUCGCCAUUAUUGAGUUGUAAUAAGCAAAUAGGCUGAUGGAGAUAAAAACUACAGCUUUUCCCCAUGCACCCUGUUUAAAAAUGUCUAUUGCUUGGAGCUACCAAACUCUAAGAUGUUGCACUAUUUCUUAUUUUGAUUUAGAAGGUUUAGUGUAACUUUGGAGUUAUCUCUGAGACAUGUAAAACUCAUCACUUCUGAUGAGCAGUUCCUUUUACCUGUGACCUGAGUCUUCUUGCAAUCAGGGGAGGUAGUAUAGCCUUGUGAUUAGAUGAUGGCCAUAGAGUUUGACUGUUGGGUCCCGAGGCUUAGCCCUACCAUGUUACACAAGUUCCUUAAGUUUUCUUUACCUCAAUUUUCUCAUCUUAAAGUGGGAUGAUAAUAGUACCUACAUCAUACUUUCAUCAUUUUGUGGUGACCAAAAAAGUGCUUAGAGUGGUACCUAGCACAUCUUAAGCCCCCAUAAUUGUUACCUUAUUAGUGGUUCUAUGAUUUUAAAUUAAGUCAAUAAAGCUCUGCAAAUGUAAUGAGUUUUUACAAUUAACCUAGAAGCUCACAUCUUCUUUUUUUGAAGUUGGUGAUGGGACUGUUCCAAACCCAUGUUUAGAAUCUAUCACACUAGUUCCUCAGGAGAUGUUUUCAAAAUAACAAUGAUAUAUAAAAGGAAAAAAAAAAAACCACUGGAAAAAAUGUAAGGUUUAAAAGUGUCCUUGCUGGGAAGCCUUUGACAGAAAUAAUUGUUGAGAAAUCUUCCACUGAGGAAUCUUUGAGGUGGGAAGGGUUUGCUGCCUCAUGCACUUGACUGCUGUCCUGACUGGGAUUGGCACCGUGACACUCUAAGAUUCCAGGGGUAACUCUUUUUCAGAGUGUAGUCUGAAAUACUGAAAACUUGUGACUCCCUCAGCGUUAUUCUGUUUAGAAUUAUUCUUGUUGAAAUGCCUUAAGUUAUUAUUG
rnacentral:lncRNA from 1 species